rnacentral:lncRNA from 10 species
AACACUCCUGAGGAGAAAGAAAGAGAGGGAGGGAGAGAAAAAGAGAGAGAGAGAAACAAAAAACCAAAGAGAGAGAAAAAAUGAAUUCAUCUAAAUCAUCUGAAACACAAUGCACAGAGAGAGGAUGCUUCUCUUCCCAAAUGUUCUUAUGGACUGUUGCUGGGAUCCCCAUCCUAUUUCUCAGUGCCUGUUUCAUCACCAGAUGUGUUGUGACAUUUCGCAUCUUUCAAACCUGUGAUGAGAAAAAGUUUCAGCUACCUGAGAAUUUCACAGAGCUCUCCUGCUACAAUUAUGGAUCAGGUAUAAUAGUCCCAAAGGUGAACAUCAAAAUUUACAAAGCAACAUUUUCUGGCUUCUAGAUUGACUUUGGGACAGCUUCUGGGAUGUAGGGGAGCCCAACAACAUAGCUACCCUGGAGGACUGUGCCACCAUGAGAGACUCUUCAAACCCAAGGCAAAAUUGGAAUGAUGUAACCUGUUUCCUCAAUUAUUUUCGGAUUUGUGAAAUGGUAGGAAUAAAUCCUUUGAACAAAGGAAAAUCUCUUUAAGAACAGAAGGCACAACUCAAAUGUGUAAAGAAGGAAGAGCAAGAACAUGGCCACACCCACCGCCCCACACGAGAAAUUUGUGCGCUGAACUUCAAAGGACUUCAUAAGUAUUUGUUACUCUGAUAUAAAUAAAAAUAAGUAGUUUUAAAUGUUA